rnacentral:rRNA from 1 species
ACUGAACGCUGGCGGCAUGCUUUACACAUGCAAGUCGAACGGUAACAGGUUAAGCUGACGAGUGGCGAACGGGUGAGAAUGCAUCGGAACGUGCCCGGUCGUGGGGGAUAACGCAGCGAAAGCUGCGCUAAUACCGCAUACGAUCUGAGGAUGAAAGCGGGGGACCGUAAGGCCUCGCGCGAUCGGAGCGGCCGAUGUCAGAUUAGGUAGUUGGGGGGGUAAAGGCUCACCAAGCCGACGGUCUGUAGCUGGUCUGAGAGGACGACCAGCCACACUGGGACUGAGACACGGCCCAGACUCCUACGGGAGGCAGCAGUGGGGAAUUUUGGACAAUGGGCGCAAGCCUGAUCCAGCAAUGCCGCGUGCAGGAAGAAGGCCUUCGGGUUGUAAACUGCUUUUGUACGGAGCGAAAAGGCUCUCUCUAAUACAGGGGGCUCAUGACGGUACCGUAAGAAUAAGCACCGGCUAACUACGUGCCAGCCGCCGCCGUAA